rnacentral:lncRNA from 1 species
AGAUCAAGGAAUUCAUUGCUUAUAUCAUCGUCUUUAUUUUUUUAAAAAAACCUUGCAACUUCGAACUAUAUAAUUCACAUCUAUCGGGUCCUGGUACUUCUGAACUCCCUCACCGUAGCCGACCCCCGCGAUUGUGAAAGACCGCCGCCCUGCUCGUCGUGUUCCGUCGUGGCCACCUUGGUUCGUCGGAGCUUUUCGUCGUGCCCAUCGGUUUGAUCAGUUUAGUUCUUCGAUCAGGAUCAGCCGCUACUCAGACCGUUGCAGCCGCACUCCGUCUUCGAUCGAGCCCCGUCGUCACGUUACUCCACCGUGUUCAGGCCAGAGCCGUUGCUACUGCUCGACUCGUUUCGUUUGAUCACCUGGAGCUCUAGUUUCUUUUUCUUUUUGUCUCCGGUUAGCUCCGUUUGCGUUUAAGGCGUUUGUGACUGUAGAGGAAAACUUGAUUAUUGGUUUUGCUUGUGUGCUAAUAAGUUAUGAUAUGUAAUUUGGGAAUCAUGGGGAAUAAGUGAAGAGUGUCGUGAAGAUAAAGAUUUUUUUUUUCGGUGAUGUAAUGAAAAUGUGUCACACCCCAACCGAUGGCGGAAUCAUCGGGGCGCGGCACUGAGCGAAACAGAUUGUCCAGAAGUUUCCACAACAACUAUUAUUACAAAUUCAGUUAAAUGAUACGUCCCAUACCGUAUCCCAAAUAAAUAAACAAGUUAUCAUAGAAAGCAACUAGGCAAAUAAAUUCCGUUCCGACAACUCAGAUUCAAUUAUUAUUACAGACAAUUGUUUAUUAUUUCUAGACUCCCUAGCCUCGAUUUCAUCACCAUGCGCCUAAGCAUCCUAGCAACUUAAGCACCUGUCACAUACGUUAAAAUAAAGUCAAUACAUAUGAUGUAAAGGUGAACACACAAAUUUAGUAAUAGCAUAUAGAGU